rnacentral:rRNA from 1 species
UACGAAGGGGGCUAGCGUUGCUCGGAAUCAUUGGGCGUAAAGGGUGCGUAGGCGGCGCGGUAAGUCGGGUGUGAAAUUUCGAGGCUUAACUUCGAAACUGCAUUCGAUACUGCCGUGCUAGAGGACUGGAGAGGAGACUGGAAUUUACGGUGUAGCGGUGAAAUGCGUAGAUAUCGUAAGGAAGACCAGUGGCGAAGGCGGGUCUCUGGACAGUUCCUGACGCUGAGGCACGAAGGCCAGGGGAGCAAACGGG